ACGGAAGGCAGCAGUGGGGAAUAUUGGGCAAUGGGCGAAAGCCUGACCCAGCGACGCCGCGUGAGGGAAGAAGGUCUUCGGAUUGUAAACCUCUUUCAGCAGGGAAGAAGCAUGACGGUACCUGCAGAAGAAGUCACGGCUAACUACGUGCCAGCAGCCGCGGUAAUACGUAGGUGGCGAGCGUUAUCCGGAAUUACUGGGUGUAAAGGGUGUGUAGGCGGGGAAGCAAGUCAGGCGUGAAAUACACGGGCUCAACCCGUGAACUGCGCUUGAAACUGUUUUUCUUGAGAGUGGGAGAGGUAAACGGAAUCCCUGGUGUAGUAGUGAAAUGCGUAGAUAUCAGGAGGAACACCGGUGGCGAAGGCGGUUUACUGGACCACAACUGACGCUGAGACACGAAAGCGUGGGGAGCAAACAGGAUUAGAUACCCUGGUA
rnacentral:rRNA from 1 species